CCUACGGGCGGCAGCAGUGGGGAAUAUUGCACAAUGGGGGAAACCCUGAUGCAGCGACGCCGCGUGAGUGAAGAAGUAUUUCGGUAUGUACAGCUCUAACAGAAGGGAAGAAAAUGACGGUACCUGAUUACGAAGCCCCGGCUAACUACGUGCCAGCAGCCGUGGUAAUACGUAGGGGGCAAGCGUUAUUCUGAUUGAAUGGGUGUAAAGGGAUGGUAGACGGCAGCACAAGUCUGGAGUGAAAUGCCGGGGCUUAACCCCGGAACUGCUUUGGAUACUGUGCAGCUAGAGUGCAGGAGAGGUAAGUGGAAGUCCUAGUGUAGCGGUGAAAGGCGUAGAUAUUAGGAGGAACACCAGUGGCGAAGGCGGCUUACUGGACUGUAACUGACGUUGAGGCUCGAAAGCGUGGGGAGCAAACAGGAUUAGAUACCCCUGUAGUC
rnacentral:rRNA from 1 species